CUGCUCAAUGCUUUUGUAAAUAGCCGCAGUAUUCUGACUGUGCUAAGGUAGCAUAAUCAUUAGUCUUUUAAUUGAAGGCUGGUAUGAAUGGCGAGACGAGAAAAAAGCUGUCUCUAGAAUAUUGGUUGAAUUUUAUUUUUAAGUGAAAAAGCUUAAAUAUGUUUGGGGGACGAUCAGACCCUUUGGAGCUUUAUUUUUAAUAAUACUUCUUUUAAUUUAAUAUAAUAAAGUGUUUUUAAAAAUUUUGUUGGGGCGACAGGAAGUAAAGAGUAACACUUUUUUUAUUAAACACAAAUUAGUGGAAUAUUGAUCCCCUGAGAGGGAUUACAAGAUUAAGUUACCCUAGGGAUAACAGCGUAAUCUUUUUGGAGAGUUCUAAUCGAUAAAAAGGUUUGCGACCUCGAUGUUGGAUUAAGAAAUUGGCAAGGUGCAGAAGUUUUGUUGGAAAGUCUGUUCGACUUU
rnacentral:rRNA from 1 species